GGAGUGGUAGUUCAGUUGGUUAGAAUACCGGCCUGUCACGCCGGGGGUCGCGGGUUCGAGUCCCGUUUGCCGCUCCA
rnacentral:tRNA from 1 species